GUUUCCAGAGUAGGCUGGGCCAAGGGAGAUCCGGACAGGAAGAGACCCCUGAAAAAUUCCCACGAAUAAAUAGUUGGCCCUAGAGAAGCAGAAUAGAGGAGGUCAGCAGGGUGUGAGGAGACUGACUGUUGAUAAGUCCGGCGACUAUGGUCAAGGGAGAGCCGAAUUGCGAGUUCACAGGAAAACGCAUUCCUGUUCAGCCUAUGAAACCCGGUUCAGUCAUCACUUCCUCAGAUAACUCUUUCUGAUUGGCUGGUCCUAGUCAUGUGCUCUCACGGUGCUGCGUGUGUACAUACAGGGAUCACAUUCACUAUAGCGUGGACCUCACUGACUAUGCUAGGCUGGCUGACCAUCUUGUCCCAGGAAUCCACCUGCCUCUGUGACUAGAAGCAUGAACCACCAUGCCUGGCUUUUUUCCUGACUUCAAGGAAUUGCGCUCUGCUCCGCGUUCCUGUGCAGCAAGCAUUCACCAGCUGAGCCCUUGCUCCUGCCAUACUGAGUAUUUUGGAACAGAGCUUUACUAUGUAGCCCAGGCUGGCCUCAAAUUUGGGACAAUCCCCCUGCCUCAGCCUUCUUAGUGCUGGAAUUACUGGCAAGUGCCACUAUGCUUGCCUCUGCCAUUCUGUCUUGCACUAGAUGCGGGGUGGAGACUCUGCCUUGACCUAUGAACUCUCUGAAGGUGGGAAAGCGUGCCCCUGGGUAGUGGUUCAGCCUUUGUGCUCUGUGCAAGGAUUGUCAAUAAUCUGUAAUGUGAUGUUAGGGAGGUGAUGUCAUCUCUAAGAUUUUUAAAUCUA